rfam:Populus trichocarpa scaffold_10_contig_195, whole genome shotgun sequence.
UCUAGAACUCGAGAUAUGGGCUGAACAAUGAACAUUGUCUGAGCUGCAUGACAAAUUCCGACUUCUCCGUUGUUGCUACGAUUUGAACUUGAAAAUGGCCUUUUCUUGGACUCUUCAUGAAAGUUUUAGGACUAUGUCUUAUCUUUCCAUC